AUUUGUCCCUUAGUCCUGAUCCGAAUGCCCUGGAGGGAGUCAUCAUUGAGAGAAGUCCCAGUGACAGUGCACCACAAAUGAAUUAUCAGGCAUGAACCUGGAGGCACGUAUCAAUGAAAGUCCCGAUCCGAAUGCCCUGA